AGUGAACGCUGGCGGUAGGCCUAACACAUGCAAGUCGAACGGCAGCACAGUAAGAGCUUGCUCUUACGGGUGGCGAGUGGCGGACGGGUGAGGAAUACAUCGGAAUCUACUUUUUCGUGGGGGAUAACGUAGGGAAACUUACGCUAAUACCGCAUACGACCUACGGGUGAAAGCAGGGGAUCUUCGGACCUUGCGCGAUUGAAUGAGCCGAUGUCGGAUUAGCUAGUUGGCGGGGUAAAGGCCCACCAAGGCGACGAUCCAUAGCUGGUCUGAGAGGAUGAUCAGCCACAUUGGAACAGAAACACGGUCCAGACUCCUACGGGAGGCAGCAGUGGGGAAUAUUGGACAAUGGGCGCAAGCCUGAUCCAGCCACACCGCGUGGGUGAAGAAGGCCUUCGGGUUGUAAAGCCCUUUUGUUGGGAAAGAAAAGCAGCAGGUUAAUACCCCGCUGUUCUGACGGUACCCUAAGAAUAAGCACCGGCUAACUUCGUG
rnacentral:rRNA from 1 species